GGUUCGAUUAUGGCUCAGAUUGAACGCUGGCGGGAUGCUUUACACAUGCAGAGUCGAACGGCAGCACGGACUUCGGUCUGGUGGCGAGUGGCGAACGGGUGAGUAAUGUAUCGGAACGUGCCUAGUAGCGGGGGAUAACUACGCGAAAGCGUAACAAUACAUACGCCCUUCGGGGAAAGCGAGAGGGACCUUCGGGCCUCGCACUAUUAGAGCGGCCGAUAUCGGAUUAGCUAGUUGGUGGGUAACAGCUCGCAAGGCGACGAUCCGUAGCUGGUUGAGAGGACGACCAGCCACACUGGGACUGAGACACGGCCCAGACUCCUACGGGAGGCAGCAGUGGGAUUUUUUUGGACAAUGGAAACCUGAUCCAGCCAUCGCGUGUGCGAUGAAGGCCUUCGGGUUGUAAAGCACUUUUGGCAGGAAAACGGCACAGGAUAAUACCGCAGCUGACGACACCUGCAGAAUAAGCACCGGCUAACUACGUGCCAGCAGCCGCGGUAAUACGUAGGGUGCAAGCGUUAAUCGGAAUUACUGGGCGUAAAGCGUGCGCAGGCGGUUCAGAGAAAGAUGUGAAAUCCCAGAGCUUAACUUUGGAACUGCAUUUUUAACUACCGAGCUAGAGUGUGUCAGAGGGAGGUGGAAUUCCGCGUGUAGCAGUGAAAUGCGUAGAUAUGCGGAGGAACACCGAUGGCGAAGGCAGCCUCCUGGGAUAACACUGACGCUCAUGCACGAAAGCGUGGGAGCAAACAGGAUUAGAUACCCUGGUAGUCCACGCCUAAACGAUGUCAACUAGCUGUUGGGCCUUCGGGCAGCGAGCAGCGCAGCUAACGCGUGAAGUUGACCGCCUGGAAGGUAAGAUCGCCAAGAUUAAAACUCAAAGGAAUUGACGGGGACCCGCACAAGCGGUGGAUGAUGUGGAUUAAUUCGAUGCAACGCGAAAAACCUUACCUUGACAUGUCUGGAAUCCCGAAGAGAUUUGGGAGUGCUCAUAAGAGAACCGGAGACACAGGUGCUGCAUGGCUGUCGUCAGCUCGUGUCGUGAGACGUUGGGUUAAGUCCGCAACAGGCGUAACCCUUGUCAUUAGUUGCUACGAAGAACGCUCUAAUGAGACUGCCGGUGACAAACCGGAGGAAGGUGGGGAUGACGUCAAGUCCUCAUAGCCCCUAUGGUGGGGCUUCACGUCAUACAAUGGUCAGGACAGAGGGUCGCCAACCCGCGAGGGGAGCCAAUCCCAGAAACCUGAUGUAGUCCGGAUCGCAGUCUGCAACUCGACUGCGUGGAAGUCGGAAUCGCUAGUAAUCGCGGAUCAGCAUGUCGCGGUGAAUACGUUCCCGGGUCUUGUACACACCGCCCGUCACACCAUGGGAGUGGGUUUUACCAGAAGUAGUUAGCUAACCGUAAGGAGGGCGAUUACCACAGUAGGAUUCAUGACUGGGGUGAAGUCGUAACAAGGUAG
rnacentral:rRNA from 1 species